GAGACAUUAUAGUUGGAUGACUUGUUGCGGUGAACAAAAUAACAGAGCCAUCACCCCUUUCUUCUCCCCCAUCCCAAAACUCUUUAGAACCAAAAAAAAAAAAAAAAAAAAAAAGGAAAUACUUCGAAAGAAGAAGAAAAAAGAUUUUAGAAUUAGGAAGAUGAAGUAUUCUGUGACUUUGUUGUGGUGGGAGACGAUUGACAUUUAGCAAUUCUCUUUAUAUUAAUGGUUUAUUUAUUGGCAUUGUCAUGUUGCACCCAGCAGGAGUCGUUGUGCAGGCCAUGGUUCUGUGUCAAAAGUGCUAGUUAUUUCAUAUAUUAUCUGCACUUGACCUAAAAGAAAUGUAA
rnacentral:misc_RNA from 1 species